rnacentral:rRNA from 1 species
AGAGUUUGAUCCUGGCUCAGGACGAACGCUGGCGGCGUGCUUAACACAUGCAAGUCGAACGGAAAGGCCCUUUCGGGGGUACUCGAGUGGCGAACGGGUGAGUAACACGUGGGUGAUCUGCCCUGCACUUUGGGAUAAGCCUGGGAAACUGGGUCUAAUACCGGAUAUACCUCAUGGACUGCAUGGUUUGUGGGGGAAAGCUUUUGCGGUGUGGGAUGGGCCCGCGGCCUAUCAGCUUGUUGGUGGGGUGAUGGCCUACCAAGGCGACGACGGGUAGCCGGCCUGAGAGGGUGACCGGCCACACUGGGACUGAGAUACGGCCCAGACUCCUACGGGAGGCAGCAGUGGGGAAUAUUGCACAAUGGGCGCAAGCCUGAUGCAGCGACGCCGCGUGAGGGAUGACGGCCUUCGGGUUGUAAACCUCUUUCAGCAGGGACGAAGCGCAAGUGACGGUACCUGUAGAAGAAGGACCGGCCAACUACGUGCCAGCAGCCGCGGUAAUACGUAGGGUCCGAGCGUUGUCCGGAAUUACUGGGCGUAAAGAGCUCGUAGGUGGUUUGUCGCGUUGUUCGUGAAAACUCACAGCUUAACUGUGGGCGUGCGGGCGAUACGGGCAGACUUGAGUACUGCAGGGGAGACUGGAAUUCCUGGUGUAGCGGUGGAAUGCGCAGAUAUCAGGAGGAACACCGGUGGCGAAGGCGGGUCUCUGGGCAGUAACUGACGCUGAGGAGCGAAAGCGUGGGGAGCGAACAGGAUUAGAUACCCUGGUAGUCC